rnacentral:rRNA from 1 species
CGGACGGGUGAGUAACGCGUGGAUAACCUGCCUCACACAGGGGGAUAACAGUUAGAAAUGACUGCUAAUACCGCAUAAGCGCACGGUACCGCAUGGUACAGUGUGAAAAACUCCGGUGGUGUGAGAUGGAUCCGCGUCUGAUUAGGUAGUUGGUGAGGUAACGGCCCACCAAGCCGACGAUCAGUAGCCGACCUGAGAGGGUGACCGGCCACAUUGGGACUGAGACACGGCCCAA